UCUACAUCCCCUGUUUAACACAAAUGACAGCACCAAAAAAAAUUGAAGGAAUAUUUAAUUUUUGCUUUUGUAAUUAUUUACCUACGAAUAAUUCCUAUAAUUUACCACGGGUCUAAUCUCUUAGCUAUCAUCUACUUAUUGUCGGGAAUUCUUGCAAAACAAGUUAAUGCAAAUGUAAUAAAAUUUGUAAAUGCUUUAUUUGGCUGAAUGAAAAUGCCAUCGUGUCACAUUUUGCAGACAUCCGAUUAUCGUUUCCAUUUUGCAGUUUUCUUUUCCCAUUUUUCCAUUAAGUCGUUUCCAUUUUGCAGUUUUCUUUUCCCAUUUUCAAGAGAACAUUUUUCCAUCCAGGACUACUCUACCUGCAGCACUUUCUGGAUAACAAUCCUGAAAGUUGUGGGGCAAGUUCUUUUCUAAGGGCUUCCUCUAGGCGCCCGUAAUAGCUCAUACUGACUUCUAUUAUGACACUUGAUUAUGGCCGGUGUUAUUAUUAUUGUCCACGUUAUCGUUACUGUGCGCUGAAAAUAUUAAGUAUUCAUCUUGGUAGUACCAGAAGCUUUCUCUAAAACUUGGAGUUCCUUAAAGGUUAGUUCCUAGAAACUGGGUAAAAACAUCCUCCCUGAAAUCCUGGCCAAAACUCAAUCUUUAAUUACUGUGAUGCUGGCCUCCCAUCCACAGCAAGGAUGAAAAAGAGUGGCUUCGUCAUUUGAAAGGUCUUUCUUUGUCUCUAUUUCAAAUUUACUUCUAAGGCGUUAUUACCACCUAGUUUCUCUAUUACCCCAGGGGCGAGAUCCAGAUGCCUCUCGGCUUUGAGGACCUCACGACCCGCGCGGGGUAGUUGGACAUCGCUCCUGGGUCGCGAACACACCAACCCGAGGCGGCGGGCGAACCUCGCGCACGGGUUCCGACCCUCGAGCGCGAGAAACGGUCACCGCGGCGACGCGCGCCGAGGACGCGCAGCCCUGGGCAGUGGAACUAACAAGAUCACGUGUGCCCUCCUGAAAAAAAAAAAAAGUUCUCAGAGGUUGGUAAUGCAAGCCACUAAAGAAGCAUGCAAGGAUCACCAGCCAGUGCAGAGCACCCUUUUGAGCUAUCCAUAACUUGGACGUGAAAUCUACAUUUUUAUUAUUUAUUGAAAAUAAUCCUAAUGUUUCCUUACUUCGAAAUGGAAAAUUUAUUGAAGUAAACUGCCUAUAAUUUAAAAAAUAUUAAUUGAACUGAAUGUUGAAUUUUUCUUUCUGAAACACCCCCCAAAUUUUUACCGUGUGGUCUACAAGUUAAUUUCUUUACUUAAUAGAAAAAUAAUUUCUACUUUCUCUAAACUGAUUUACAUGCAUUGUCUGUUUUUCUUCUCUCCUUUGCCCAUUUCUUCUCAACAUUUCCUAAGGCUCAAAUAACUAUUCUCUACUUGUCAAGGGAUGACUGCCAGAAACAUUUAUUUUCAAAGAUGAUAAUCUGCCUUUUUAACAAUCCAAAUGUCCAUUAAUAGUUGAAUGAAUAAAUUGUGGUAUAGUCAUAUGAAGGAAUACUAUACAGCAAUCAAAGUAAAGGAGCUAUGACCCACAACAAUAUGGAUGGUUUCUACAUAAUAUUGAAGAAGUCACACAAAAGCAAAUAUAUUAUCCUAUUUUUUUAAAGAGUAAAAAAGGUAAAAGUCAAGAAAUUAUUUUGGGACAGAGAGGCAAUGAAAGGGGGCUUAUGGGAUGAUGGUAAUAUGUCUUUUGAUGGAGGUGAUAGUGUGUUUGCUUUAUGAUAAUUCAUCAUCUGACCCUGAUGAUUUAGAAAAUCUCUGGUGUAAACUGAGGGUUGCUGGAGGGGAGGUGGGUGGAGGGAUGGGGUAAUUGGGUGAUGGGCAUUA